rnacentral:rRNA from 1 species
CUUACAUCUCUUCGGAGCAUUUACGAGGUGCUGCAUGGUUGUCGUCAGCUCGUGCCGUGAGGUGUCGGGUUAAGUCCCAUAACGAGCGCAACCCCUACCCUUUAGUUGCCAUCAGGUAAUGCUGGGGACUCUAAAGGAACUGCCUACGCAAGUAGUGAGGAAGGCGGGGAUGACGUCAAAUCAGCACGGCCCUUACGUCCAGGGCUACACACGUGCUACAAUGGCCGAUACAGAGGGCAGCUACCUGGUGACAGGAUGCAAAUCUCCAAAGUCGGUCUCAGUUCGGAUCGGAGUCUGCAACCCGACUCCGUGAAGUUGGAUUCGCUAGUAAUCGCGCAUCAGCCAUGGCGCGGUGAAUACGUUCCCGGGCCUU